rnacentral:tRNA from 1 species
GCCCGGGUGGCUCAGUCGGUUGAGCGUCUGACUUCAGCUCAGGUCGUGAUCUCGUGGUUUACGAGUUCGAGCCCCGCGUUGGGCU